GGAGAAGUACUCAAGUGGCUGAAGAGGACGGUUUGCUAAACCGUUAGGGUGGGUAACUGCCGCGAGGGUUCGACUCCCUCCUUCUCCGCCA
rnacentral:tRNA from 2 species